rnacentral:rRNA from 1 species
GUCAAGCAAUUAAGCGUACGUGGUGGAUGCCUUGGCAGCUAGAGGCGAUGAAGGACGUGGUAGGCCACGAAAGGCUUCGGGGAGCAGUCAAACAUGCUUUGAUCCGGAGGUAUCCGAAUGGGGAAACCCAACCAGCUUGCUGGUUACCUUGCACUGAAUACAUAGGUGUAAGGGGCGAACGCGGAGAACUGAAACAUCUAAGUACCCGGAGGAAAAGAAAUCAACCGAGAUUCCCAAAGUAGCGGCGAGCGAAAUGGGAUUAGCCCUUAAGUUACAGUGGAUUUAGCAGAACGCUCUGGAAAGUGCGGCGAUAGAGGGUGAUAGCCCCGUAUGCGAAAGGUCCAUUGUAGUGAAAACGAGUAGGUCGGGACACGUGAAAUCCUGAUUGAAUAUGGGGGGACCAUCCUCCAAGGCUAAAUACUCCUAGCUGACCGAUAGUGAACUAGUACCGUGAGGGAAAGGUG